GAGUUUGAUCGUGGCUCAGAUUGAACGCUGGCGGCAUGCCUUACACAUGCAAGUCGAACGGCAGCAUGAUCUAGCUUGCUAGAUUGAUGGCGAGUGGCGAACGGGUGAGUAAUACAUCGGAACGUGCCCUGUAGUGGGGGAUAACUAGUCGAAAGAUUAGCUAAUACCGCAUACGACCUGAGGGUGAAAGUGGGGGACCGCAAGGCCUCAUGCUAUAGGAGCGGCCGAUGUCUGAUUAGCUAGUUGGUGGGGUAAAGGCCCACCAAGGCGACGAUCAGUAGCUGGUCUGAGAGGACGAUCAGCCACACUGGGACUGAGACACGGCCCAGACUCCCACGGGAGGCAGCAGUGGGGAAUUUUGGACGAAUAGGCGGAA
rnacentral:rRNA from 1 species